ACAUUUAUUUUUAGAUGCUAGACAACUAACUUUAUUGGAGAGUUUGAUCCUGGCUCAGGAUGAACGCUGGCGGCGUGCCUAAUACAUGCAAGUCGAGCGAAUGGAUUGAGAGCUUGCUCUCAAGAAGUUAGCGGCGGACGGGUGAGUAACACGUGGGUAACCUGCCCAUAAGACUGGGAUAACUCCGGGAAACCGGGGCUAAUACCGGAUAACAUUUUGAACUGCAUGGUUCGAAAUUGAAAGGCGGCUUCGGCUGUCACUUAUGGAUGGACCCGCGUCGCAUUAGCUAGUUGGUGAGGUAACGGCUCACCAAGGCAACGAUGCGUAGCCGACCUGAGAGGGUGAUCGGCCACACUGGGACUGAGACACGGCCCAGACUCCUACGGGAGGCAGCAGUAGGGAAUCUUCCGCAAUGGACGAAAGUCUGACGGAGCAACGCCGCGUGAGUGAUGAAGGCUUUCGGGUCGUAAAACUCUGUUGUUAGGGAAGAACAAGUGCUAGUUGAAUAAGCUGGCACCUUGACGGUACCUAACCAGAAAGCCACGGCUAACUACGUGCCAGCAGCCGCGGUAAUACGUAGGUGGCAAGCGUUAUCCGGAAUUAUUGGGCGUAAAGCGCGCGCAGGUGGUUUCUUAAGUCUGAUGUGAUAGCCCACGGCUCAACCGUGGAGGUUCAU
rnacentral:rRNA from 1 species